AUUCUGACUGUGCGAAGGUAGCAUAAUAGAUUGUCUUUUAAAUGGAGGCUUGAAUGAAUGGUUGGACAAAGUAUCAUCUGUUUCUUUAAUAAUUAUUGAAUUUGACUUUUAAGUGAAAAGGCUUAAAUGAAUUAAAAAGACGAUAAGACCCUAUAAAUUUUUAUAAAAAAUAUAAUUUUAAUUUAAUUUUAUAAGUUUAUAAAAUAUAAAUUGUUUUUUUAUUGUGCUGGGGUGGUGUAGAUAUAUAGGUUAACUGUUUAUAAAUUUGAAUCAAUAAUAAUUGAUUAUUUAGUUUGAUCCUUUAAAAGAUUAAAAGAUUAAAAUACUUUAGGGAUAACAGCGUUAUUUUUUCUGAGAGUUCUUAUUGAAGAAAAAGUUUGCGACCUCGAUGUUGAAUUAAAGUUUCUUUAUGGUGCAGCAGCUAUAUAAGAGAGUCUGUUCGACUUUUAAUACUUUACAUGA
rnacentral:rRNA from 1 species